rnacentral:rRNA from 1 species
GUGGGGAAUAUUGGACAAUGGGCGCAAGCCUGAUCCAGCCAUGCCGCGUGAGUGAUGAAGGCCUUAGGGUUGUAAAGCUCUUUCAGUAGAGAAGAUAAUGACGGUACCUACAGAAGAAGCCCCGGCUAACUUCGUGCCAGCAGCCGCGGUAAUACGAAGGGGGCUAGCGUUGUUCGGAUUUACUGGGCGUAAAGCGCACGUAGGCGGAAUGUUAAGUCAGAGGUGAAAUCCUGGAGCUCAACUCCAGAACUGCCUUUGAUACUGGCAAGCUCGAGUCCGGAAGAGGUGAGUGGAACUCCUAGUGUAGAGGUGGAAUUCGUAGAUAUUAGGAAGAACACCAGUGGCGAAGGCGGCUCACUGGUCCGGUACUGACGCUGAGGUGCGAAAGCGUGGGGAGCAAACAGGAUUAGAAACCCUUGUAGUCC